rnacentral:rRNA from 1 species
UGGGGGGGGCGAGGCCGACAGCACGCCGCGCGAGCGAUGAAGGCCCCAGGGCCGUAAAGCCCCCCCACCCGGGAAGAUAAUGACUGUACCGGGAGAAUAAGCUCCGGCUAACUCCGUGCCAGCAGCCGCGGUAAUACGGAGGGAGCUAGCGUUGUUCGGAAUUACUGGGCGUAAAGCGCACGUAGGCGGCUUUGUAAGUUAGAGGUGAAAGCCUGGAGCUCAACUCCAGAACUGCCUUUAAGACUGCAUCGCUCGAAUCCAGGAGAGGUGAGUGGAAUUCCGAGUGUAGAGGUGAAAUUCGUAGAUAUUCGGAAGAACACCAGUGGCGAAGGCGGCUCACUGGACUGGUAUUGACGCUGAGGUGCGAAA